AGCGAACGCUGGCGGCAGGCCUAACACAUGCAAGUCGAACGAGGUCUUCGGACCUAGUGGCGGACGGGUGAGUAACACGUGGGAACGUGCCCUUUGGUACGGAAUAACUCAGGGAAACUUGAGCUAAUACCGUAUGUGCCCUUCGGGGGAAAGAUUUAUCGCCAUUGGAGCGGCCCGCGUCUGAUUAGCUAGUUGGUGAGGUAACGGCUCACCAAGGCGACGAUCAGUAGCUGGUCUGAGAGGAUGACCAGCCACAUUGGGACUGAGACACGGCCCAAACUCCUACGGGAGGCAGCAGUGGGGAAUCUUGCGCAAUGGGCGAAAGCCUGACGCAGCCAUGCCGCGUGGAUGAUGAAGGUCUUAGGAUUGUAAAAUCCUUUCACCGGUGAAGAUAAUGACUGUAGCCGGAGAAGAAGCCCCGGCUAACUUCGUGCCAGCAGCCGCCGUAA
rnacentral:rRNA from 1 species